UACGAAGGGAGCUAGCGUUGUUCGGAAUCACUGGGCGUAAAGCGCACGUAGGCGGAUUUGUAAGUCAGGGGUGAAAUCCCGGGGCUCAACCUCGGAACUGCCUUUGAUACUGCAAAUCUCGAGUCCGGAAGAGGUGAGUGGAAUUCCUAGUGUAGAGGUGAAAUUCGUAGAUAUUCGGAAGAACACCAGUGGCGAAGGCGACUUACUGGACACAUAUUGACGCUGAGGUGCGAAAGCGUGGGGAGCAAACAGG
rnacentral:rRNA from 1 species